UGAGCAAUCUGCCCUUCUCAUCGGAAUAAGCGCUGGAAACGACGUCUAAUGCCGAAUACGACCUCCUUUCGCAUGAUCGGAGGUGGAAAGCUCCGGCGGAGAAGGAUGAGCUCGCGGCCUAUCAGCUAGUUGGUGUGGGUAAUGGCCCACCAAGGCGACGACGGGUAGCCGGCCUGAGAGGGUGACCGGCCACACUGGGACUGAGACACGGCCCAGACUCCGUAGGGAGG
rnacentral:rRNA from 1 species